UACGUAGGGUGCGAGCGUUAAUCGGAAUUACUGGGCGUAAAGCGUGCGCAGGCGGUUUUGUAAGCCAGAUGUGAAAUCCCCGGGCUUAACCUGGGAAUGGCAUUUGGGACUGCAAGGCUUGAGUUUGGCAGAGGAGACUGGAAUUCCUGGUGUAGCAGUGAAAUGCGUAGAUAUCAGGAGGAAUACCGAUGGCGAAGGCAGGUCUCUGGGCUAGAACUGACGCUCAUGCACGAAAGCGUGGGGAG
rnacentral:rRNA from 1 species